AUGCUUGCCAACAAAAAGCAGACACAACAAAGUCUUUAAAAGCUAAGUUAAUGCAGCUUCCACCAUGGAGAGGCUCCCACCCCUGGGCCGGAUGCUUUUCCCAGCCUCGGAUCUGACUGGAGAGUCACUGCCCUGGAAAGCCAGGCUGGAGGCUGCUCUUCCAGAGAUGCCACUCGCCUGGUGAGCGUGCAGACGGCGGCCACUGGCUGUUGAGGAGAGACGCUGUACUUCCUCGGCCAGACAGGCAGAGUGUGCUGUGGCUGCUGGGCUGGAUGUUGGUGCUUGGCCUCUUGGGAUGGGGCAGCUGGUGGCUCCUUGGAAACAGAUUGUGAGGGACCUGGAUAGUACCCUGCAGUGACAGGACACUAUCAGGAGGGAAGAGCCUGGGGGAGGCCAGGGUAGACUGCAUCACCUACGUUUAAGACCAAGUCCCCAACCCCCGAGUCCUGAGCCACCGAGACUGGCUGGCCCCGGCCAGCUCUCAGGCCCAAAGUUAGGUGACUGCUUUACCUUUGUACAUCUGAUGGUCUUUCUGUUCCUGUCCUAUCUUGUUCCUCACCUUUCUCCACUCCAGGUUGGAACCUUAUAUUCUGUCCUCUGUGACUGAUGUCUCCUGCUUCCGUUUACCUGUGUAUUUGGCACUUCUGUGCUCUCGCAGUUCACCCUUGUUGGGCAGGGCCGGGGCCUGUUUCCUACACAGUCCCUCAAAUUACUUUGAACAAGUGGCCUCUCAUUUCAGCAUUGCGGCCCAAAACUUAUGUAGCUCAUUUGCUCACCGGGCACCGAGGACAGGUGUCCGUCCAGGCGCUCGAUGUCAGAGUCUGACAAGGGAUUCUGAGUGCUGAGGCGUCUGGCAGCUCUGAAAGGGCAGCAGAUGCCCACUGUCCCAUGAGAAUGCUGUCCUGAGGCCUACUGUGUGCCAGCGAGGGUGGCGGUGUGGGUCCAGAGGCCCCUUCGGGCAGUUUGCCCCGGAAUGCGGUUAGAAACAGGACAAAGCCCGGAGGUCCAGGAGCCUCCCAGGCCGGAGUGGGGGGGGAGAGAGGGCUGAAAGGGGGGCCCUGCCUGCGGCACAGCCUGGAACACUUUUCCUCCUCCGCAUAAAUAGUUCCUGGCCAGUUGCCUUGGGAACCAGAUUCAAUUGACUGACGUCACUGGGCGUCAUUGCAUAGCAACCAGACAGAGCUUUCAGGCACCAUGGUCACGGUUGCCAUGGGGAUGGUCGUUGGGUGUCUACCCACUCCCUUUGCCUCAGCUCUGGCCAGGAGCUGCUCUUCCCUGGCAGGAAAAGGCUCUGCCUGGCCUGCUGCAGCCCAGACACCCUCCUUGCCCCUUGGGCUGGCCGGGCUGCCAUGGCCAAAGAAAGCCCCAUUGUGGCCCAGCACACCCUGCGCCAGGGACAUUUCUCUGACAGAGAGGCCUUUGUUCGCCCUCACCCCAUCUGAACUUCUCUGUUCCAGCCUUGUUUUCUCACAGCGUCCCAACCUGGGUUCCUGCUCUGGUAACAGGAGCGGGUGGCAGCACGGGGCGUUUUCAUUCCCCUCCGCCUAGUCGCCCAGGAAAUCUCUGAGCUUGGCCACCUGCCUCGGGGGAGGAGACACUGAUCCUGCUCACUCCACUCUGCUCCCUUUCCUGGUUACCCUCCUCCCUCCUGUCCCUCCCGUGGCGUUUGUGCUGAGUGACGUUUUGCUCCACUGCUGCAUCGGGGUCACCGGGACGGCCUGCACUGACCACCUCCAAGUUUCGGAUGUGGGCCUUGUUCUUCGGGUGUCCCUGUCUCCGUUUGUCUGUUCCCACCACAGCAGAAUGUGAAGUGCUGAGGCCAGCAAGCCCCGGCUGGGCGACAAAGGCCCAGGACCUCACGCAGGGGCAGGCAACCCGCCACCUCCAUGUGUGGCUGGAGGAACCCUAACCAUCUCUUGUUUGAGGACCUCGCUCGUCUUGUUCAGACUCAGUAUGUUGGAGCCCAUCUGUCGGAGGUGUUUUCCUCACCAAAAACUGCAUUUUGAAAAGUACUAAUAAAAUAUAGGUUAGUAGCAAAACCAGA